rnacentral:rRNA from 1 species
AGAGUUUGAUCCUGGCUCAGGAUGAACGCUGGCGGCGUGCCUAACACAUGCAAGUCGAGCGCGAUUAGUUGGACUGGAGACUUCGGUCAAAGGGAAGAUUAUGAAAGCGGCGGACGGGUGAGUAACGCGUGAGCAACCUGCCCUGUACAGGGGGAUAGCCACUGGAAACGGUGAUUAAUACCCCAUAAACCCAAAGGACCGCAUGGUCCAAUGGGCAAAGUCCAAACGGUACAGGAUGGGCUCGCGUCUGAUUAGCUAGUUGGUGAGGUAACGGCUCACCAAGGCGACGAUCAGUAGCCGACCUGAGAGGGUGAACGGCCACACUGGAACUGAGACACGGUCCAGACUCCUACGGGAGGCAGCAGUGGGGAAUAUUGCACAAUGGGCGCAACCCUGACGCAGCAACGCCGCGUGAGUGAUGAAGGCCUUCGGGUCGUAAAGCUCUGUCAGAGGGAAAGAAGUGUAUUUUGGUUAAUACCCGAGAUACUUGACGGUACCCUCAAAGGAAGCACCGGCUAACUCCGUGCCAGCAGCCGCGGUAAUACGUAGGUGGCAAGCGUUGUCCGGAUUUAUUGGGCGUAAAGCGAGCGCAGGCGGUUCCUUAAGUCUGAUGUGAAAGCCCACGGCUCAACCGUGGAAGGUCAUUGGAAACUGGGGAACUUGAGUGCAGAAGAGGAGAGUGGAAUUCCAUGUGUAGCGGUGAAAUGCGUAGAUAUAUGGAGGAACACCAGUGGCGAAGGCGACUCUCUGGUCUGUAACUGACGCUGAGGCUCGAAAGCGUGGGGAGCAAACAGGAUUAGAUACCCUGGUAGUCC